GAUCCUGGCUCAGGAUGAACGCUGGCGGCGUGCUUAAUACAUGCAAGUCGAACGAAGCACUUAAGACGGACUUCUUCGGAAUGAAGACUUUGUGACUGAGUGGCGGACGGGUGAGUAACGCGUGGGUAACCUGCCUUGUACAGGGGAUAACAGUUGGAAACGACUGCUAAUACCGUAUAAGCGCACAGUACCGCAUGGUACGGUGUGAAAAACUCCGGUGGUACAAGAUGGACCCGCGUCUGAUUAG
rnacentral:rRNA from 1 species